rnacentral:rRNA from 1 species
CCUGACGGAGCACGCCGCGUGCGGGAGGAAGGCCUUAGGGUUGUAAACCGCUUUUAUCAGGGAAGAACACAAUGACGGUACCUGAUGAAUAAGCCUCGGCUAAUUCCGUGCCAGCAGCCGCGGUAAUACGGGAGAGGCGAGCGUUAUCCGGAAUUAUUGGGCGUAAAGCGUCCGCAGGUGGCCAAUUAAGUCUGUCGUUAAAUCGUGGAGCUCAACUCCAUACAAGCGAUGGAAACUGAUUGGCUAGAGUACGGUAGGGGUAGCGGGAAUUCCAGGUGUAGCGGUGAAAUGCGUAGAUAUCUGGAAGAACACCAGCGACGAAAGUGCGCUACUGGGCCUGUACUGACACUCAUGGACGAAAGCCAGGGGAGCGAAAGGGAUUAGAUACCCCUGUAGUCCUGGCCGUAAACGAUGAACACUAGGUGUUGCGCGAAUCGACCCGUGCAGUGCCGUAGCCAACGCGUUAAGUGUUCCGCCUGGGGAGUACGCACGCAAGUGUGAAACUCAAAGGAAUUGACGGGGGCCCGCACAAGCGGUGGAGUAUGUGGUUUAAUUCGAUGCAACGCGAAGAACCUUACCAAGGCUUGACAUCCCCCGAAUCUCUGGGAAACCGGAGAGUGCCUUCGGGAGCGGGGAGACAGGUGGUGCAUGGCUGCCGUCAGCUCGUGUCGUGAGAUGUUGGGUUAAGUCCCGCAACGAGCGCAACCCACGUCCUUAGUUGCCAUCAUUCAGUUGGGCACUUUAGGGAGACUGCCGGUGAC